rnacentral:rRNA from 1 species
CUGGCGGCACGCCUAACACAUGCAAGUCGAACGAAGUAGCAAUACUUAGUGGCAGACGGGUGAGUAACAUGUAGGUAUCUGCCCUUUGGCCUGGAAUAACACGAGGAAACUUGUGCUAAUACCGGAUAAGUCUUUACGGAGAAAGCUUUAUGCACCAUUGGAUGAGCCUGCACUUGAUUAGUUUGUUGGUAGGGUAAUGGCCUACCAAGACUAUGAUCAAUAGCUGAUUUGAGAGGAUGAUCAGCCACAUUGGGACUGAGACACGGCCCAAACUCCUACGGGAGGCAGCAGUGGGGAAUCUUGCACAAUGGAGGAAACUCUGAUGCAGCGAUGCCGCGUGAGUGAAGAAGGCCCUUGGGUUGUAAAGCUCUUUCGUCGGGGAAGAAAAUGACUGUACCCGAAUAAGAAGGUCCGGCUAACUUCGUGCCAGCAGCCGCGGUAAUACGAAGGGACCUAGCGUAGUUCGGAAUUACUGGGCUUAAAGAGUUCGUAGGUGGUUGAAAUAGUUGGUGGUGAAAUCCCAGAGCUUAACUCUGGAACUGCCAUCAAAACUUUUCAGCUAGAGUAUGAUAGAGGAAAGCAGAAUUUCUAGUGUAGAGGUGAAAUUCGUAGAUAUUAGAAAGAAUACCAAUUGCGAAGGCAGCUUUCUGGAUCAUUACUGACACUGAGGAACGAAAGCAUGGGUAGCGAAGAGGAUUAGAUACCCUCGUAGUCCAUGCCGUAAACGAUGUGUGUUAGACGUUGGAAAUUUAUUUUCAGUGUCGCAGUGAAAGCGAUAAACACACCGCCUGGGGAGUACGAC